rnacentral:rRNA from 3 species
UCUCCCUGAGACUUUAAGUCUCCUGAAGGAACGUUGAAGACGACGACGUUGAUAGGCCGGGUGUGUAAGCGCAGCGAUGCGUUGAGCUAACCGGUACUAAUGAACCGUGAGGCUUAACCUUACAACGCCGAAG